UUACUGACAAGACUUUGGGAAACUGUCAGCAGGGCUUUAGGAGCACAUUUGCUCUUGGGGAACAGCCUUGCUGUAUUGCUGUUUGGCCUUGAGGGAAGCUAUCUGGGGAGAGGAGCCCACCAGUGUUUGGCUGACAAGACCAUGUCUGCUGUGGCUUCACCUUUGCUGCUGUCUCCAUAUCACCGUGGGAGUCCUGCAGAGUGGUGUGGAGUUCACAAUGGAUUCUUAAGAAGUUAUAGGGAGCUCUUUAUCAAUUCUAUUCCUGAGAAGGACCCACUUCAGGAAUGUUACAAUGCAGACCAAGAUUCUGGUGCCUCACAAGAUUUGACACAAGCCAGAGCUUUGUUUUUUUUUUCUCACCUGUUGGCCAGGAGAUUAACUUGGAGCAGGGGAAGCCACGUGGAAGAAGCCAAGCAAAGGGCAAUGGGGACCUAGAAGAUGGAGUCGUCAAACAAUGGAAGAAUCCCAGAUUUUCAAGUCACUGUUUGGACAAGAACCUACCAUGCCAGGUGCCUGAAUAGGAACACUGAACUUUGUGUGGGUGAGAAACAAACUUUUAUUGUGUUAAGACACUGAGUUUUUGGGUUGGUUUUUAUAGUAGCUGGUGUUGCUUAUACUGACUAAUAAAUCUUGGAAGUAAAUGAUGCAAAACAAUUCUAAUUAUUUACAGGGGAUAUUUAUAAGGGAAAAUAAUAAUAGGGUGAUGUCAAUGUGGUGUCCUGAUAAGUAAGCAACAACAAGGAAGGGGACCCAGGCAGGGAAGAGCAAUUGUUCUGAGAGACUGCCAAUCACGAACGACCUGCUGGCGCCACCUCCUCUUCCCAAGUACUUUGCUCAGCAUGCAGCCCCAGCAGCAUGACGUUGUCUGCAUGUAGACCCUCCAGCAUGACCCUAUAAAAUUUCCCUUCAGCCACUGCCUCUUGGCAGACAGUCCCUUCUCUGCUGUGCGGCCCACUGCUUUCUUACAAUGUAUCUUUCUACUUUCUCUAAUAAAUCUGCCUUUCUCUACCCACAA